rnacentral:lncRNA from 1 species
AAAUCCCUUUUAUAUAUAACCCCUCAACACUAUUCAUUUCAACAGUUUAAAACUGACGUUUUUCGCCGGAGCCCUUCUAAAUGUCCGUUUGCGCUCAAAUUUGACAGUCAGACUCGGUUUUACUUAAUAAGUAUAAAAAAAUUUUAAUCUUUCAGUUUCGACCAUAUUUGGUCACCGAAAACUCUACCGAACUCUAAUCUUUAGCAGAUAGCAGUCGGAUUUUAUUUUCCACCUUCCGGGUGUCAGAAUAAUAUGAAACUUUAAAUCUAGCCUCAUAAAAAUAAUUUUGACAUAUCCUCCAGUUUUCAUAAUUUUCUGACACUGUACAUUUUCUGCUAAUUUAUCUGCCCCAUUUCCAACAGAAAAUUCUAAAUCUUCUGUUUUUAUUCCGAUUUCAGCACAAGUCACUUCUGACUUAUGUUUUACUUCUCUAAAUCCAAUAAAAAUAGUAUCUCACAUUAUUUUUAUUUAUUUUUUUAUUUUUAUACCAAAAUCUGGUAUGUUACAUUCUCCACCCUUAAAAAGAAUUUCGUCCGCGAAUUUCAAACCACGCCUCAAUUUAGCUCCUAGCGCAAUU